GUUUAUUCCAUAUGUAAUCGCUCAUGGGCCCCAGCAUCCAGACAACAGCACAUCUCAGAAUCGGACCCUUCGAUCUGCGAUACGCCUAAUGGCCAGGUCAAAUCCAGAUGCCAUUUCAUUGGCUCUUCACUCAACUAUGGAACAUCUGGACAAUGAAGAUUCAUUGAUAGGGUUCUUUUGAAGUCCUGACCUGGAGUUAGAUACUGACUUUGGUUCUUUGCAGGAAUGGGACCCACUCUCAGGGUUUCAUAAUUGGCUGUUAAUUCAGCAUGCCAAGGGUUUAGCCUAAGAGUCCGGCUCGGAUUUGGAAGCCUAGGGUCUCGGGACUCUGGAGAUGGGUGGAUCGAGGGUCGGUGUCACGGCAGAAGACCUGUGUGUCGUUGGGGGAGUCGAAAUAUCUACGGCUGUGUGCCCGGAGACACAAGAUCUUUGAGAUCUUCAGGCACAGAGCUCGAAAAAAGCACCAUAAUGGACUUUUAACAUCGUAAAUCGGUGAGUUGUUCGUUACAUCUCCCUGCUUGCCGGGAAAACAGAGACAUCCCCUUCUUCCUUAUUAGGGAGAGAGAGCGAGAGCUUGUGGUAUGUCGUAUGCUGGGUGAAACAUGAAGUCUUUGGGGUAACUACAAGUCUGUGUCUUUGCUAUUGCUUUGCUCACGCUUGAGUGCUCGGUAGCUAGAGUUGAUGCUUGUUUUUGCUGGUGGAGGGGAUUAUUACUCACUGCCACACGCGUGGGAGGGGGAGCUGGGGGGACAUUGGGGUUCUGACAUUUAACUGUCGUUCAUUCUUUGGGGAACUCCCCUGUUUUUAUGAAUGGUUGUGAAGAAAAAGCAUUUCAGGAUGUAUAUUGUAUACAUUUCUCUGACAUUAAAUUGGAUCUUUGAACCCUUGAACCUAUGGACUCACUUUCAAGGAUUCCAUCUCAUGUUCUCGAUAUUAAUUCUUUGUUUAUUUAUUUAUUUAUUUAUUUUGUACGUGCAUUGUUUGUGCGUUUUGCAGAUUGGUUGGUUGUUUGCCCUGGUGGGUGCAAUAUUUCAUUGAUUCUAUUAUGGUUCUUGGAGUUACUGAGUAUGCCUGCAAGAAAACCUAUCACAGGGUUGUAUAUGGUGUCACAUGUACCUUGAGAAUAAAUUUACUUUAAUAAUUUACUUGGUAACUGUUGAUCAAGAAAAGCUUGUUCAAUGGCUUAACGAUCUGCCGGGGAUGUCCCUGGACGGCAUCCUUUUUGAGAUUUCUGAUGAAUCUACUAAAACCUUCUAGUUUUCUAGGUUGGCCGUAAGUUGAAAGCACCGGCUUAGCAUCUUUUGAAAGUGCAGACUGAAGACACUAUCCCAUCAUCUCUCCCAAAAUCUAAGUAGAUGGA